rnacentral:rRNA from 1 species
GACGAACGCUGGCGGCGUGCUUAACACAUGCAAGUCGAACGAUGAACCCGGAGCUUGCUCUGGGUGAUGAGUGGCGAACGGGUGAGUAACACGUGAGUAACCUGCCCUUGACUCUGGGAUAAGCGUUGGAAACGACGGCUAAUACCGGAGAUGACCUUUGAUCGCACGAUGUGGGGUGGAAAGUUUUUUCGGUCUGGGGUGGACUCGCGGCCUAUCAGCUUGUUUGUGAGGUAAUUGCUCACCAAGGCGUCGACGGGUAGACUGCCUGCGAGGGUGAUGGGCCACACUGGAGCUGAGAAAGGGACGCGGCUGCUGCGGGAGGCAGGAGAGGGGAAUAUGGCUCAAUGGGCGACAGCGCGAUGGAGAAGCGCCGCGUGCGGGAGGACGGCCCUCGGGUUGUAGACCGCUUUUAGUAGGGAAGAAGGGCUUCGGCUUGACGGUACCUGAAGAAAAAGGACCGGCUAACUACGUG